rnacentral:rRNA from 1 species
AAGCGGUGAGUGCUUUGGGGUGGGGUGACUGCGUACCUUUUGUAUAAUGGGUCAGCGACUUAUAUUCUGUAGCAAGGUUAACCGUAUAGGGGAGCCGAAGGGAAACCGAGUCUUAACUGGGCGUUAAGUUGCAGGGUAUAGACCCGAAACCCGGUGAUCUAGCCAUGGGCAGGUUGAAGGUUGGGUAACACUAACUGGAGGACCGAACCGACUAAUGUUGAAAAAUUAGCGGAUGACUUGUGGCUGGGGGUGAAAGGCCAAUCAAACCGGGAGAUAGCUGGUUCUCCCCGAAAGCUAUUUAGGUAGCGCCUCGUGAACUCAUCUUCGGGGGUAGAGCACUGUUUCGGCUAGGGGGUCAUCCCGACUUACCAACCCGAUGCAAACUGCGAAUACCGAAGAAUGUUAUCACGGGAGACACACGGCGGGUGCUAACGUCCGUCGUGAAGAGGGAAACAACCCAGACCGCCAGCUAAGGUCCCAAAGUCACAGUUAAGUGGGAAACGAUGUGGGAAGGCUCAGACAGCCAGGAUGUUGGCUUAGAAGCAGCCAUCAUUUAAAGAAAGCGUAAUAGCUCACUGGUCGAGUCGGCCUGCGCGGAAGAUGUAACGGGGCUAAACUGUGCACCGAAGCUGCGGCAGCGACGCU